CUCAGGCUCAGUCAGCACUAAAGGCACGCUACAGGCGCUACUUCAGGUUGCCUUUGUUCAUUGGUUGGAUCGUCUUUUUCGUCGUGUCAUUGUGCCAAUGAAGCACAAUAAGAAAGACUGACUCAGUCAGCGUCGGCUGUAAAGCCCAGGCCUCGCAUCUUGGACUUGGAGAGGAGCAGGAAGACGGUCAACUGGUCUCCCAGCAUGUGAUCCUGUGAGAUAAAAAGCGAGCCGCUCUCUUCACGCUGAACUCCUCUGGAAAAAAAAAAGAAAGAAGUAGAAGUUAGAUUGGAGCAACUUCAUGAAAUCAAGACCCUCAGGGUCUGGUGAAAAUAUGCUAAUUAGUUGAAGAUUGAGAGGGCUGAGAAGGAACAGCUGGAUGUGGAGGAAAAACAGCAGCGCAGCUUCGUUUAUAGAUAAAAAAAUAUUUUUAAGGCUCUUUAAUGAACUUAACGUUUGCUUAUAUAAGUCCAAGGCUAGUUUGUCAGGGAAAACUGUAAGCAGAGGAUAACCGCCUAGAGAAAUAUGAAUAAUAUUUCUGGUCUAUCCAAGAAAAAGCUGCCAAUUUUUUGCAUUAGCUUCAGUUUUCUCCUGUGAAGAAAACAUAUUUUUUUACUAUCUGUAAAAUAAUAUGUAACAGUGUCCGUAUGAUAGAAUCACUUGAUGGGAUUUGUUUGACUGUAUGCAAAUCAUACACUUAAUUUUUUUGGGUUAUGCAGUUUAUUCGAUUUAUUUGGCAAUGUUGCCAACCGGAUCUUCCCAGCAUUCUCUGCUCUUUGUUACGGUGUCAAUUUCAGGCUGUGUUCCUCCAAUACCGUAAUAACAUUAAGUGUCAGUCACUGACUGAUUUCUAUGUCCAUAAGAAAGACAAACUGUCCCUGGAAAGAAAAAGUUAAGCUCAUACCUAACUGUACAUCAGUUUUUAAGCUCAGCGUCAACCUAAAGCAUUGGGAGUCAAAGCAGGUUUUACUCUUCAGAUCUGCCAAAACUACGAGCCAAGUUUUGUCACAACUGAAUCAACCGCUUGUUCAAAUAUCAAAUGGAUUAUGUUAAACGCAAACAGAGACAGAGAGUGAGUGAUGCACAAAAUCCUGUAUCACACCUAUCAGUGCUGUUUGUCAUGUACUUUGCUGUUCUGCACACUGUAGAAUUAUUCCUGGUCUUUGGAUGAAACCGAACAACACACACCACUGACUUCAUCGUCACACUGCUUUUAACAGCUUUCAUGACAAGAAGCCAGUGUCAUAAGUAUCACCAGGGGGCGAUAUUACCAUUUUCUCUCACUGUUUGGAUUUGAGCAUUUAUUCCAAAUGAGGCUUUUUGGUGGAUAUUUGAAAAAGCACAACUUUAUUGCAAAUCCUCACCUUCUUAAAACCAACUGUUUAAAAGACUCAAGGUCCUUAGAUGUUUAAUGUGCACACAUAUGAAAGGCUGCAAACAGUAUUUUAUUCAUUUUCACAUUGCAAAUACAAGAGUUUGGAGCCAAAAUCAAAACUGUGCAGCUGCCAAACACAUACGGAACAUUAUAUAUAUAAAAAAUAAGCAUAGGCCAGUAUAGUUCGACAUUAAUGCUCAUUCUGUUGUUUUUUUUUUUCUUUUCUUCUUUUUCCCAUUCAUUGUAUGAAGGUUGUUAUUUUUGCAUUGAUUGGCGUUCUGUUAUUUUGGCCUGUUCAGUAUUUAUUUAAUAUUGUUUUCAUGAUUUUACAGUGUGAAAGGAGAGAGAUUAGACGCAUUGACGAAUAAAUUUAAAAUAUUAA